UGGGGAAUUUUGGACAAUGGGCGCAAGCCUGAUCCAGCCAUGCCGCGUGCAGGAUGAAGGCCUUCGGGUUGUAAACUGCUUUUGUACGGAACGAAACGGCCUUUUCUAAUAAAGAGGGCUAAUGACGGUACCGUAAGAAUAAGCACCGGCUAACUACGUGCCAGCAGCCGCGGUAAUACGUAGGGUGCAAGCGUUAAUCGGAAUUACUGGGCGUAAAGCGUGCGCAGGCGGUGAUGUAAGACAGUUGUGAAAUCCCCGGGCUCAACCUGGGAACUGCAUCUGUGACUGCAUCGCUGGAGUACGGCAGAGGGGGAUGGAAUUCCGCGUGUAGCAGUGAAAUGCGUAGAUAUGCGGAGGAACACCGAUGGCGAAGGCAAUCCCCUGGGCCUGUACUGACGCUCAUGCACGAAAGCGUGGGGAGCAAACA
rnacentral:rRNA from 1 species